CUACGGGAGGCAGCAGUGGGGAAUAUUGGACAAUGGGCGCAAGCCUGAUCCAGCCAUGCCGCGUGAGUGAUGAAGGCCUUAGGGUUGUAAAGCUCUUUUGCCGGGGACGAUAAUGACGGUACCCGGAGAAUAAGUCCCGGCUAACUUCGUGCCAGCAGCCGCGGUAAUACGAAGGGGACUAGCGUUGUUCGGAAUCACUGGGCGUAAAGCGCACGUAGGCGGAUAUGUCAGUCAGGGGUGAAAUCCCGGGGCUCAACCUCGGAACUGCCUUUGAUACAGCAUGUCUUGAGUCCGAUAGAGGUGGGUGGAAUUCCUAGUGUAGAGGUGAAAUUCGUAGAUAUUAGGAAGAACACCGGUGGCGAAGGCGGCCCACUGGAUCGGUACUGACGCUGAGGUGCGAAAGCGUGGGGAGCAAACAGGAUUAGAUACCCCUGUAGUCC
rnacentral:rRNA from 1 species